GAUGAACGCUGGCGGCGUGCCUAACACAUGCAAGUCGAGCGAACCCUUCGGGGUGAGCGGCGGACGGGUGAGUAACGCGUGGGUAACCUGCCCUAUACACACGGAUAACGUACCGAAAGGUACGCUAAUACGGGAUAAGUUGUUGGAUGGCAUCUUCUAACAAUCAAAGCUCCGGCGGUAUAGGAUGGACCCGCGUCUGAUUAGCUAGUUGGUGAGGUAAUGGCUCACCAAGGCGACGAUCAGUAGCCGACCUGAGAGGGUGAUCGGCCACACUGGAACUGAGACACGGUCCAGACUCCCACGGGAGGCAGCAGUGGGGAAUAUUGCACAAUGGGCGAAAGCCUGAUGCAGCAACGCCGCGUGAGCGAUGAAGGUCUUCGGAUCGUAAAGCUCAGUCCUCAAGGAAGAUAAUGACGGUACUUGAGGAGGAAGCCCCGGCUAACUACGUGCCAGCCGCCGCGGUAA
rnacentral:rRNA from 1 species